GCGACGCCGGACAGCAGCACGUGCGCCGCCGACCUCUCCGGCAGGUCGGCGGCGAGCGCGCAGUCCCCGGCCCGGAUCGUGACCGUGGCGGUGUCC
rnacentral:tRNA from 1 species